UACGGGGGGGGGCAAGCGUUGUUCGGAAUUACUGGGCGUAAAGUGUGCGCAGGUGGCCGCGCAAGUCGAGUGUGAAAUCCCCGAGCUUAACUUGGGAAUUGCGCUCGAAACUACGUGGCUCGAGUGUGGCAGAGGAAGGUGGAAUUCCACGUGUAGCGGUGAAAUGCGUAGAGAUGUGGAGGAACACCGAUGGCGAAGGCAGCCUUCUGGGCCAACACUGACGCUCAUGCACGAAAGCGUGGGGAGCAAACAGG
rnacentral:rRNA from 1 species